CCCUUAGAUGUUCUGGGCUGCACACGGGCUACACUGGAGGGUACAACGAGCUUCAUUAGCUUACCCGGAAGGGUGUGCCAAUCUUUGAAUACCCUCCGUGAUUGGGAUAGACCAUUGCAAUUAUUGGUCUUCAACGAGGAAUUCCUAGUAAACGUGCGUCAACAACGCACAUUGAUUAUGUCCCUGCCCUUUGUACACACCGCCCGUCGCUCCUACCGAUUGGAUGUUUCGAUGAGCCGUUCGGAGGAAUUUGGUGAAGGCGUAAGCUCGGAACCGGAAUCCAAAGUUCUGCAAAUCUGAAUAUCUAGAGGAAGGAGAAGUCGUAACA
rnacentral:rRNA from 1 species